rnacentral:rRNA from 1 species
GUAGGUGGCAAGCGUUGUCCGGAUUUAUUGGGUUUAAAGGGUGCGUAGGCGGCUCCUUAAGUCAGUGCUGAAAUACUCUAGCUUAACUAGAGGGGUGGCAUUGAUACUGAGGGGCUUGAGUGGAGUCGAGGUAGGCGGAAUUGACGGUGUAGCGGUGAAAUGCUUAGAUAUCGUCAAGAACACCGAUAGUGUAGACAGCUUACUAGGCUUCAACUGACGCUGAGGCACGAAAGUGUGGGGAUCAAACAGGAUUAGAUACCCUGGUAGUCCACACUGUAAACGUUGAUUACUCGCUGUUGGCGAUAUACAGUCAGCGGCUUAGCGCAAGCGAUAAGUAAUCCACCUGGGGAGUACGCCGGCAACGGUGAA